CCCUCAGGUGGAGGUGAUUUCCUUCGGCUGCUAUUUGGCUGCACCUGGGCGUCCGCCAGGACAGCAGUGGAAGCUCACACGGGAGAAAACAAGAGCAAGAGAAUGAUUCCCAGAGUCUCUGCUGUGUUUGCCCCAUACAAGAAAGGCAAUGGAAAUCUUUUGAGAGAUGUCAAAAGUAACACAUUAGUACUACCCAGAUGGGGGAAGGGACAAACAGCUGCCUGUUGACCUUCCAAGAAGCCAACCUUGGGCUGGAGAAGAUCGCAGAUUACCCAUCUAUGGUCCCAAAUACAGAGGCUAACACUGGAUAAAAUGGCCACAGCCAACUCAUUGCCUGAGCUAUCCUUACCUCUCUGUGAGAAUGGGUAAGGAGUAAUAAAGGAGUUGAAUAUAAUAAAUUAAGCAAGUAUUAGUGGCUAUAAA